GGUAAGAUGGCCGAGCAAGGCGGCGGGUUGUAGCCCCGACGACAGAGGCAGCACCCUCUUCCUACCA
rnacentral:tRNA from 1 species